rnacentral:rRNA from 1 species
UACGGGGGGGCAAGCGUUGUUCGGAAUUACUGGGCGUAAAGGGCGCGCUAGGCGGCCUGCUAAGUCGGAUGUGAAAUCCCUCGGCUCAACCGAGGAACUGCAUCCGAUACUGGCGGGCUUGAAUCCGGGAGAGGGAUGUGGAAUUCCAGGUGAGCUGGUGAAAUGCGUAGAUAUCUGGAGGAACACCGGUGGCGAAGGCGGCAUCCUGGACCGGUAUUGACGCUGAGGCGCGAAAGCUAGGGGCAAGCGGGAUUAA